rnacentral:rRNA from 1 species
UGGGGAAUAUUGCACAAUGGGCGCAAGCCUGAUGCAGCCAUGCCGCGUGUGUGAAGAAGGCCUUCGGGUUGUAAAGCACUUUCAGCGAGGAGGAAGGUGGUGGACUUAAUACGUUCAUCAAUUGACGUUACUCGCGGAAGAAGCACCGGCUAACUCCGUGCCAGCAGCCGCGGUAAUACGGAGGGUGCAAGCGUUAAUCGGAAUUACUGGGCGUAAAGCGCACGCAGGCGGUUUGUUAAGUCAGAUGUGAAAUCCCCGGGCUCAACCUGGGAACUGCAUUUGAAACUGGCAAGCUAGAGUCUCGUAGAGGGGGGUAGAAUUCCAGGUGUAGCGGUGAAAUGCGUAGAGAUCUGGAGGAAUACCGGUGGCGAAGGCGGCCCCCUGGACGAAGACUGACGCUCAGGUGCGAAAGCGUGGGGCAGCAAACAGGAUUAGAUACCCUGGUAGUCCACGCUGUAAGCGGUGUCGAUUUGGAGGUUGUGCCCUUGAGGCGUGGCUUCCGGAGCUAACGCGUUAAAUCGACCGCCUGGGGAGUAC